GACGAACGCUGGCGGCGUGCCUAAUACAUGCAAGUCGAACGCAGUGGGGACGGGUGAGUAACACGUGGGUAACCUCCCCAUCAGAGGGGAGAACAAUUGGAAACAGGUGCUAAACCGAUACUGAUGGAUGGACACGCGGUGCAUGAGCUAGUGGGAGAGGUAACGCAUCACCAAGGACAAGAUGCAUAGCCGACCUGAGCGGGUGAUCGGACAGACUGGGAAUGAGACACGGCCCAGACUCCUACGGGAGGCAGCAGUAGGGAAUCUUCGGCAAUGGACGAAAGUCUGACCUAGCAACGCCGCGUGAGUGAAGAAGGUUUUCGGAGCGUAAAACUCUGUUGUUAGAGAAGGGGUAUCUAACCAGAAAGCCACGGCUAACUACUUGCCAGCAGCCGCGGUAAUUC
rnacentral:rRNA from 1 species